rnacentral:rRNA from 1 species
AAAUUGAAGAGUUUGAUCAUGGCUCAGAUUGAACGCUGGCGGCAGGCCUAACACAUGCAAGUCGAACGGUAACAGGAAGCAGCUUGCUGCUUUGCUGACGAGUGGCGGACGGGUGAGUAAUGUCUGGGAAACUGCCUGAUGGAGGGGGAUAACUACUGGAAACGGUGGCUAAUACCGCAUAACGUCGCAAGACCAAAGAGGGGGAUCUUCGGGCCUCUUGCCAUCAGAUGUGCCCAGAUGGGAUUAGCUUGUUGGUGAGGUAACGGCUCACCAAGGCGACGAUCCCUAGCUGGUCUGAGAGGAUGACCAGCCACACUGGAACUGAGACACGGUCCAGACUCCUACGGGAGGCAGCAGUGGGGAAUAUUGCACAAUGGGCGCAAGCCUGAUGCAGCCAUGCCGCGUGUAUGAAGAAGGCCUUCGGGUUGUAAAGUACUUUCAGCGGGGAGGAAGGUGUUGUGGUUAAUAACC